rnacentral:misc_RNA from 1 species
AAGUCGUAACAAGGUUUCCGUAGGUGAACCUGCGGAAGGAUCAUUAACACUUUAAUUCAAUGACCCAUUAUAAACCCAAACCCCCUUUUUUAAAACAGAAAAAAUAACAUAACCCCAUUUUAACACCUAACCCCAUAACUACUUGACUAAUUUUUGAUUGUUUGUCAUACUAUGAACAAUUGACUCUUCAAUGCAAGUUGAAUCGAGACUUGUUUAUAUUAUGAUAUCAAUCAGCCAUUUCAUUUGAAAAAAUGCAAUGUAUAUAAACCAACUUACAAUUCUUAACAAUGGAUAUCUUGGUUCUC